rnacentral:rRNA from 1 species
GAUGAACGCUGGCGGCGUGCUUAACACAUGCAAGUCGAACGGGAAACCUUUUAUUGAAGCUUCGGCAGAUUUAGCUGGUUUCUAGUGGCGGACGGGUGAGUAACGCGUGGGUAACCUGCCUUAUACAGGGGGAUAACAACCAGAAAUGGUUGCUAAUACCGCAUAAGCGCACAGGACCGCAUGGUCCGGUGUGAAAAACUCCGGUGGUAUAAGAUGGACCCGCGUUGGAUUAGCUAGUUGGCAGGGUAACGGCCUACCAAGGCGACGAUCCAUAGCCGGCCUGAGAGGGUGAACGGCCACAGUGGGACUGAGACACGGCCCAGACUCCUACGGGAGGCAGCAGUGGGGAAUAUUGCACAAUGGGGGAAACCCUGAUGCAGCGACGCCGCGUGAAGGAAGAAGUAUCUCGGUAUGUAAACUUCUAUCAGCAGGGAAGAUAGUGACGGUACCUGACUAAGAAGCCCCGGCUAACUACGUG